rnacentral:rRNA from 1 species
UACAGAGGGUGCAAACGUUGCUCGGAAUCAUUGGGCGUAAAGCGCACGUAGGCGGUCUGUUAAGUCGGGUGUGAAAUCCCCAGGCUCAACCUGGGAAGUGCACUCGAAACUGGCGGGCUUGAAUAUGGAAGAGGGUCGCGGAAUUCCCGGUGUAGGGGUGAAAUUCGUAGAUAUCGGGAGGAACACCAGUGGCGAAGGCGGCGACCUGGGCCAAUAUUGACGCUGAGGUGCGAAAGCGUGGGGAGCAAACAGG